GAUUCUGUAGCUCAGCUGGUAGAGCAGUACACUUUUAAUGUACGGGUCCUGGGUUCGAAUCCCAGCGGAAUCA
rnacentral:tRNA from 8 species